rnacentral:rRNA from 1 species
UGGUGGAGCGAUUUGUCUGGUCAAUUCCGAUAACGAACGAGACUCUAGCCUACUAAAUAGCUACGCGUAGCUUCGGUUACGUGGGCAACUUCUUAGAGGGACGUUGCGUGUCUAACGCAAGGAAGUUUGAGGCAAUAACA